UGGAUGGAAACUCCUUGUAGUGUUCUCCACAAGUUAUUCACCCAUCGUUCAACGUGUCACACACAGUGUUGUGAUGUUCUAAGUCUCCAUGCUCAUGUGUAACAAACAGAAUCGCUGGCCCUGGGGUUGUGCUUGUACUCCUGUCCCAUAUUAAUAGAUACUCCCCCCAAGUGUCAUCCGAAGGCAUUGUAUGAACUAACACUACUGCUUCUCUUCCCCGCAGGCACCUACACCCUCUGUCGCUGAUGAUGUAAGCUAGUGCCUCAUGAUGUUAAUUUCCAUUUUCCUGACGACCAAGUACAAAUUGACGGCCUGCCUUCAAGAGAAACAGCUAGCCUACUGGGGUUUCAUCAGAGCCUAACCAAUUUGGAGGAAAGAAAACACCCAACUCCAGCUCCCUCUGGCCGCCUUAUUCCAUGCAAACAGUCAGCAGAAGCUGGAAAGAUGUGAGUUUCUGCCUGCACAAAAUACGGGCGAGGAAAAUAUGAAACCACCUCCCGCCCUCAAGACCAAGAGAAGCUUCGUCUGCCUGAAGCCGGGAGGCUCCGCGCCCAGUGUGGAGCCCAGCGCGGGGCUUGAACCCCAGACCCUGAGAUCAAGACCCGAGCUGAGAUCAAGAGUCGGAUGCCAACCCAGGCGCCUCCGGGAUGACUCUCUUGAGGAAGCCCCCUGCUAUCAAGCCUCGCCUGUCCAAUAACUCAACAGGAAGUUACCCAAGUUGGGCAUAGAGCGCCAGGCGUGUGGGGGACGCCCCAGCGGGAACGUUUGACUGGAAAAGGAAGUGCGGGGCUGGGGGCCUGGCCACAGGGAGAAGUGCUGUCUGCUCUGUGGUCACGCCGUGGGCCAGAACAUUCAGGGCCACCCGUGGCACACGGCAAGUGCAGGCUGGCCGGGGCCGCGGGUGAGCGCAAAGGCCAGGGGGACCUUUUUAUGAUCCGUGAGACAGCUACCUUGGACCUGAAGGACAAAGCUCAUUUUUGUGGGUGAAAAUUUAGAAGCCGUGUCUGCUGAACUUGGCAGUUCAGGACCACUAAGAUAAUGCUUAGGAGGAGGAAGGAAGAGAGAAGGGAGCCGAGAAGGAGGGAGAUCGGGAGGCCGGAGCCGCUCCUCCACUGCUCGACUUUUGACAUGCUUCGUAUAAAUACUAGUUCAAUUCGUGUUUACUCUUUCUAAAGACUCAUUUGCUACACACUUCUCACACUGCUGUUCA